AUUGAACGCUGGCGGCAUGCCUUACACAUGCAAGUCGAACGGUAACGCGGGGCAACCUGGCGACGAGUGGCGAACGGGUGAGUAAUGUAUCGGAACGUGCCCAGUUGUGGGGGAUAACUGCUCGAAAGAGCAGCUAAUACCGCAUACGACCUGAGGGUGAAAGCGGGGGAUCGCAAGACCUCGCGCAAUUGGAGCGGCCGAUAUCAGAUUAGGUAGUUGGUGAGGUAAAGGCUCACCAAGCCGACGAUCUGUAGCUGGUCUGAGAGGACGACCAGCCACACUGGGACUGAGACACGGCCCAGACGCCUACGGGAGGCAGCAGUGGGGAAUUUUGGACAAUGGACGCAAGUCUGAUCCAGCCAUGCCGCGUGCGGGAAGAAGGCCUUCGGGUUGUAAACCGCUUGUGUCAGGGAAGAAACGCUCUGGGUUAAUACCUCGGGGUAAUGACGGUACCUGAAGAAUAAGCACCGGCUAACUACGUGCCAGCCGCCGCUGUAAUAC
rnacentral:rRNA from 1 species